rnacentral:rRNA from 1 species
UUUAGGAGCUAGCCGUCGAAGGUGGGACAAAUGAUUGGGGUGAAGUCGUAACAAGGUAGCCGUAUCGGAAGGUGCGGCUGGAUCACCUCCUUUCUAAGGA